rnacentral:rRNA from 1 species
UCAGGUGACUCUAGCGGAGGGGAAACACCCUGCUCCAUCCCGAACCAGGAAGUUAAGCUCUCCAGCGCCGAUGGUACUUGGGGGGAGACCCCCUGGGAGAGUAGGUCGUCGCCUGUA